AUUGAACGCUGGCGGCAGGCCUAACACAUGCAAGUCGAACGGUAACAGGAAGCAGCUUGCUGCUUCGCUGACGAGUGGCGGACGGGUGAGUAAUGUCUGGGAAGCUGCCUGAUGGAGGGGGAUAACUACUGGAAACGGUAGCUAAUACCGCAUAAUGUCGCAAGACCAAAGAGGGGGACCUUCGGGCCUCUUGCCAUCGGAUGUGCCCAGAUGGGAUUAGCUUGUUGGUGGGGUAACGGCUCACCAAGGCGACGAUCCCUAGCUGGUCUGAGAGGAUGACCAGCCACACUGGGACUGAGACACGGUCCAGACUCCUACGGGAGGCAGCAGUGGGGAAUAUUGCACAAUGGGCGCAAGCCUGAUGCAGCCAUGCCGCGUGUAUGAAGAAGGCCUUCGGGUUGUAAAGUACUUUCAGCGGGGAGGAGGGGAGUAAAGUUAAUACCUUUGCUCAUUGACGUUACCCGCAGAAGAAGCACCGGCUAACUCCGUG
rnacentral:rRNA from 1 species